UAUUAAUAUAUAAUACAAUAGAUAUAUAAUGAUCUAAUAUUUAAUUGUAAUUUAUUAUUAUAAAUAUACUCUGCAACCUCUUACACUCCACUUUUGAGGACAAGCAAAGGAAGCGAGAUUAAUUUCUGGUAAUGAACAGAAAAGAAGCAGGAGAUGAGAAGGGUCCAGUCAAUAAUCCUUGAUGGGCUGGUAUUCUGUAAAGAUCUGUUCAAGCGUCUUUUACAAGUGAGUUAACCUGACUACACUGCUCUUUUGAACUCUAGCCUCCCACACACAGCAAAAGAAAUGGAAGAGCAGUCUCACUGAGACCAAACAGUCUUUUAGCUCAGGAUCUUCAGCAACAGGACAAAGUGAUCACAGAGAGACACAUUUCCAGGGAUAUGCUCCCAGCUGGAUGCAGAUCAGCACUGUCCUGAAUCACAGGCAUAUCACCUGUGUGCUUUGACAGAGAAAUUUCUAUGUUCGGUGACACAUUUUUAUUCCAUUUUAUUCAAUUUCACUUUGUUUUCUGAACCCAUGUAAAUGUCUGGAGCAUGCAAUAUCCUCAACCACACGACAUAGGAAGCAUCUCCUUUUGUUCUGAACCUGACAUACAUUAGCUUUGUUUGUUCCCUCUGACAUCUGGUGAGAGACAUCCUGAAACUGUUCACCUUUUUCAGUUGUGCUUAUUACAUUCAUUGCUCAGUCCUCUCAUUCCAAGGAUGGUAAGUCCAGCUUUAUUUAAUCAUUUACUUGUGCAGAAUUGCCUUUUUUUCUUUAUUUCUUUUAUUCUGCAUUGUACUGUCUGCAGUUCUAUUUAUUCAUUGUCAGGAUGGAGGGGGGACAGAACCAUAGAAGUUAAAGGUUUCUGUAGCUCUGCCUGCUUUGUUUUUUUAUUUUCCACAUAAUCACCACCAAUAUUCUGUUUCUUGGACAACCACUGAGCACAGAGGCAAUAUUUUUAUGGAAUUACCUUUUUUAAUUCCAAGAUUUUUUUUUCUUGAACGGAAAUAGAAUGUUCAAGAACUCACUGCCACUCACAUAAAGUUAGGAUAAUUUUUCCUUUUCAAUGCACUCUUCAAUAUUUCAUCUGCCAUCCAUCAUCCAGUCACUCAAUACUUUAAAUCAUAUAUUUCAAAUUAGCAUUAAAUUGAGUAAACAUCCUUCUUACCUGUUAGUGUCACUUAGUGAGCUUUCAUAACUUUGGUUAUAUUAAGCAGAAAAUAAGCUUUCAAAACAAACAACAAAUACCUUUUAGCUCAAGCAGCAUUAUUCCACCCUCCAGUAAGAGUUUACUCAGAUGAUUUAUUACUCACACACUGUUGUUACACAGAGCUCUAAUGCCUUGGUGUAUUCCAUUCUGCCUGGGUGCAAUCCAGGUAGAUUUUCCUUUCUCCCCUCCAGGUAAAUUUGUUCAGACAGGCUCAAAACAACAUUAACAACGUACUAUUUUUACACUAUCCAACAAAGCUAAGAAGCACUCACGGGAAUGAUUUCAAGUAUUUGCAGAUGCUUUGUUUUCCUUGUAAUUAAUUUGACUCUCUGCCUGCUAUACACGUCAGCAGCUGACACCAGAAGAUACAGCAAAGCAGCAGCAUGUAUAGGUAACAAAAAAAAUACAUUAGUGAAGAGAAAGGUGAGGUGAGUUAAUGGAUAGUUUUUCCUUCUGUGAUCCUCUAAAAAGAAAUAUUUACCCUUCUAGAGAAAUAAAAAGGUAUCUAAAGAUCUGUGACUGACGAGAAUUUCUACUAGUUCACUCAUGAAAUUUAAACUUUUUUUUUUACAUUUUCCCCCUGCUUUUUCCUGCCCCAAAAUCUGGGUGGAUAAGGGCUUUAUUUACUUGUUUAUUUUCUUCUCCACACCUAGGAGCUUCUGGGAAUACUGCAGGAUUUAAAGUAAUAGGACCAUGCCUAAGGUGUUGGCAGCACAAGGCCAAGCUAUGGCCCCUGGAACACAAGCUGUCAGGCUGGGCUGGUGCCACAGUCUUGCAGUGGGGUGCAGCACAGGAGCAGCUGGGCACCUGGCAGUGCACACCCUUUUUGGGCAGUUCUUAAACCACCCAAAGAAGCUACUGCAAAGCAGAAGAAGAGAACUGCAGAACAGUAAGAAACAUCAGUCAGAAAUCAGGCUUGAGCAGGUUAGGAAAGACGAUAAAUUUCAAUUCAGUGAAAAAUUAACUUGGGAAGCGGAGCACUGCUUUGCAUGCAGGAUUGGUUUAUCCAUCCAAAUAGCAAGUCAAAGUCCCAACAAAACAAACCCCUACUUGCUGUUUUUGGAUGCACAAACUGGGCACCACAUGACUGCAGCACAGCAUUCAAGAUCCCAAGUCUGGAAGCCAAUUUUAGGCAGACAGACCCUAAAAGAUGUUUCAUGAAUGUGCAAAGUCACAGGCUGAGUUUGUCCAGGCAGCUGACACAGACUGAACACAGGCACACUGUUCUCUGCCACUCCUUGCUCACCACUGCAGCACAAAGACAGGCAGAGGUGUUUAGAAAGGAGCAGUGGCCAGGCAGCACCUUCAGCUUGAUGUGCACAUGUUCUAAAAAUAUCAGUGGGCUUUUUUUUUUUUUAAUUGUACAUUCAUGCAUCACAACAUAUUUUAGUUGCUGGACAAAAGCCAAGCUGCCCUGCUGCUAGCAAGCUGUGUCAAAAUGGAAAUGUAUUAUACAAAUUAUUGAAGUGUUAAGUCAUGCAGUAUGUAUGCUGUCCAAAAUAUUAAAGGGUCAGAAAACUGUAGGAUACAAAUAUAUAGCUUCCAAACUUAUAAGUUUCCAUAUCUCUUACCAGCCUUUUACAGCCCUAAAGUCCUGAAUCCACGUGCCAGGUGCCACUCCAGUGUAACAGGUCUACUUUGCUGCACACAGUCCAGCUUCCAUGGAAAGACAAGUCAGCAUCACCUUCUAGCCAGCUUCCCUUUCUUCACACAGCACAGUAGACAAACAGAAGACAAAAGGAUUGCAGAGCCGUGGCAAUUUUUAUAUGCGCUGUCCAAAUGUCACCCACUGCAAUAGAUAUAACAUCACCAAAAAAAUGUUGGUUACUAGAAGAGGAGAUCUGGACACUGGAGUUUAAAUCAGGCUGAGCGAUGACUAGCAAGGCAUGAGGACAACCUGAAGAGCUUCUUGCUGCUGUGCACUUGUUCUCAAGACUGAAAUUCCUUCUCUGCUUUUCCUCUGGGUAAUAAAUAUGUAAAUACAACCUGGUGGCAGAAGUAGAGAGUGUGGGAAUUAAAUGAGACUCAUGGUGAGUGCUGAAGGAGCUGGUUACAGAGCAGCCAGGCUAUGCUAAAUAACCUUUGCUCUCCCUGGAUAUGGUCUGCUGCAGAACACUUUCUGAUAGAAACCUACUAAAACAGUAUGUGCAGCCACGGCUUCAUUCCUAAUGUCCCAGCAUAGAUCAAAAAGAAGGAUUCAACUAAGUCAAUGAUGGAGAAAAACUAAUUUCAUGGUAAAAUAAUUCUAAAAUAUAUUUAAGGUACAUUGGCGAGGCUACUUUAAAGGGAAUCUGCAUUACAAAACAUGUAAGAGAAUUGAAGACUAUAUUCUCAUGUUCUUCUGCUGCUAAAAAAAUAGUUAUUCUUUAUCACUUUCUGACUACAGUAUUUUAUGUAAACAAUUUUCUGAGAAGACUUCUUUCUUUCUUCACAGUUUUGGUUUGGGUUUUAUUUUUUAGACAGAA